rnacentral:rRNA from 1 species
AUUUUGGACAAUGGGGGAAACCCUGAUCCAGCCAUCCCGCGUGUAUGAUGAAGGCCUUCGGGUUGUACCGUACUUUUGGCAGAGAAGAAAAGGUACCUCCUAAUACGAGGUACUGCUGACGGUAUCUGCAGAAUAAGCACCGGCUAACUACGUGCCAGCAGCCGCGGUAAUACGUAGGGUGCAAGCGUUAAUCGGAAUUACUGGGCGUAAAGGUUGUGUGGGCGUUUCGGAAAGAAAGAUGUGAAAUCCCAGGGCUCAACCUUGGAACUGCAUUUUUAACUGCCGGGCUAGGGUAUGUCGGAGGGGGGUAGAAUUCCACGUGUGGCAGUGAAAUGCUUGAAUAUGUGGAGGAAUCCCGAUGGCAAAGGCAGCCCCCUGGAUAAUACUGACGCUCAGACACGAAAGCGUGGGGAGCAAACAG